rnacentral:rRNA from 1 species
CAGCAGCCGCGGUAAUACGAAGGGGGCUAGCGUUAUUCGGAUUUACUGGGCGUAAAGGGCGCGUAGGCGGACUGAUAAGUCAGGGGUGAAAUCCCAAGGCUCAACCUUGAACUGCCUUUGAUACUGUUUGUCUUGAGUUCGAGAGAGGUAAGUGGAACUGCGAGUGUAGAGGUGAAAUUCGUAGAUAUUCGCAAGAACACCAGUGGCGAAGGCGGCUUACUGGCUCGAAACUGACGCUGAGGCGCGAAAGCGUGGGGAGCAAACAGGAUUAGAUACCCGUGUAGUCCCUGUCUCUUAUACA